CACAACUCAAAAACAUGCACAAAAAAAAAAAAAAUUUACAGGUUGAUGAAGGCCAUGUGGAGGUUGGGAUGGGAGCUGAGCAAGGAAACCAAAUGCCUGAAGUUCAAGCUUCAACUGAAGCUUCAGUUUCAACACCACAAGUUCCAAGGACUGCAACAACCAAAGUUAGAAGAACUCACGAGAAAAUGAAAAUAACAGUCUGAAGAAACACAAUUGAAUCCUUUAAUCCCGAUCAAUCUUUUCCAAUAAUCCAGGCUCCAAUGAUUGUGAAAGGGGGUGUUAAUUUCAUUACACUAUCCAAUUUGACAUCAAAUGUGACCAAUCAACUGAAGGAAAACUCAUGCUCUGAAUUUGGUGCAAGUUUUGCUUCUAAGACCUCUUCCAAGUCAUCAUCUUCUUCCAAAUCAACGUAUGCCUCCAAGAUAAACAAAUGAUCAAGAUUUGAUGUUUUAAGUUUGCAAGUCAACCUUUGUUUUAUUGAAUGUUGAGACAUUGUACUUCUUUUUAAUUUGGAUAUUUUGUUCUGUUUAGAUGUGAUGACAUUUGUAAUUUAGUUUGGAUCUCAUGAAUGUUUGAUGUUUGGAUUUGACGUUAGUAGGUUUUUAUUUGAAUUUGAUGCAUAUUUGAUUUUUAA